GAUGAACGCUGGCGGCGUGCCUAAUACAUGCAAGUCGAGCGAACAGACGAGGAUCUUGCUCCUCUGACGUGAGCGGCGGACGUGUGAGUAACACGUGGAUAACCUCCCUAUAAGACUGGGCUAACUUCGGGAAACCGGAGCUAAUACCGGAUAACAUGUUGAACCGCAUGGUUCAACAGUGCACGCCGGUCUUGCUGUCACUUAUAGAUGGAUCCGCGCCGCAUUAGCUAGUUGGUAAGGUAACGGCUUACCAAGGCAACGAUGCGUAGCCGACCUGAGAGGGCGAACGGCCACACUGGAACUGAGACACGGCCCAGACUCCUACGGGAGGCAGCAGUGGGGAAUUUUGCGCAAUGGGCGAAAGCCUGACGGAGCAACGCCGCGUGAGUGAAGAAGGUCUUCGGAUUGUAAAACUCUGUUAUUAGGGAAGAAAAAAUGUGUAAGUAAAUAUGCAGGGGAUGACGGUACCUGAACAGAAAGCAACGGCUAACUACGUG
rnacentral:rRNA from 1 species